CGCGCAUGAAUGGAUUAA
rnacentral:snRNA from 1 species